rnacentral:rRNA from 1 species
UACGUAGGGUGCAAGCGUUAAUCGGAAUUACUGGGCGUAAAGCGUACGCAGGCGGCUUUGCAAGACAGGUGUGAAAUCCCCGGGCCUAACCUGGGAACUGCAUUUGUGACUGCAUAGCUAGAGUUUGUCAGAGGGGGGUGGAAUUCCACGUGUAGCAGUGAAAUGCGUAGAUAUGUGGAGGAACACCGAUGGCGAAGGCAGCCCCCUGGGAUGUGACUGACGCUCAUGUACGAAAGCGUGGGGAGCAAACGGG